rnacentral:rRNA from 1 species
GUCUUAUUGAAAAUAAUUUUAAGUCUAAUCUGCUCAAUGAAUAAAUUUUAAAUAGCUGCAGUAUAAAUAACUGUACAAAGGUAGCAUAAUAAUUUGUUUUUUAAUUGAAAACUAGAAUGAAUGAUUUAAUGAAAUAUAAACUGUAUCAAAUUUAAAUAAUAAAUUUAUUAUUUAAAUAAAAAAAUUUAAAUAAAUUUUAAAGACGAGAAGACCCUAUAGAAUUUUAAUAAUAAUUUAAUUUAAUUAAAAUUAAAUUAUUAUAUUAAUUGGGGAAAUUUUAAAAUUUUAAAAAUUUUUAAUUAAAAAAAACAUAAAUUUUUGAAUAUUUAUUAUUUUUUAAAAAAAUAAAUUAAAUUACCUUAGGGAUAACAGCAUAAUUUUUUUAAAANGUUCAAAUUUAUAAAAAAGUUUAU